rnacentral:rRNA from 1 species
UACGUAGGAUGCAAGCGUUGUCCGGAUUUACUGGGCGUAAAGCGCGCGCAGGCGGCACUCUAAGUACGUCGUGAAAUAUCCCGGCUCAACCGGGAGGGUGCGAUGUAGACUAGGGAGCUAGAGGUCGGUAGAGGGGGGUGGAAUUGCUGGUGUAGCGGUGAAAUGCGCAGAUAUCAGGAGGAACACCGGUGGCGAAGGCGGAUCUCUGGGCCAUUACUGACGCUGAGGAGCGAAAGCGUGGGGAGCGAACAGG